GCCACUGCAGUCCAGCCUGGGCAACAGAGCCAGACUCUGUCUCAAACAUCAAUAAAUAAAUAAAAUGGCAGUGUUUCCAAUGCACUUGGAAUCACAUCUCCAACUAUAUUUGAUUUAAAAAACCUUAGAUGUCAACUUUUAAAAUGGGAAAGGCAAACAUGAACAGUGUUUGAAAGCCUCUUUCUAGCACACCUGUGCACUCUGCUGGCCCCCACCAGUUGUAGGACAACCACGACUACAGUGUUAGCUGCACAUCUGCUCACGCCACUUGCAUUGGUUAAUGUAAUCAUCCUGCUGCAUUUAAAAUUACGUAAUAAACUGCAAAAAUAGAGCUGUUAAGAGAGUUAUUUCUAGGAAAACUAGUUGAAUGCUUGGGAAAGACAUACUGAGUCACUAAAUAUAAUUUGGUUAAAUUAGGUGUAGGUGUAAAAGAUGGGGGAAGACUGCUUCACAUGUUUCUUUUCCUAAGUUCUUGCUCUCCUUUAAAAGAAAAAAAAAAAACAGACAAAUAUCAAAAACCAGAAGUUGUAAUCCAGUGUUUGCCAAGGUUUCUUGGUAAGAAUUACCUGGGUCAUUUGCUAACUACACAGAUAAACAGGCAUCUUCCCCCUAGAAAUUCUGAUUCAGGAAGUCUAGGUGGGGGCCUUGGGAUCUGAUUUUCCUGGUUGUCUGUUUUGUUUUAUAAAAUAAGGGCUGGAGUCAUUCGUAUCUUCAGGGGUAUUUGGGGAACACGAGGAAGAUUAUGGAUACGACAAGAAAGUCUUGUUUUCAGUGGCUUUUUGAAUGAACAGACCAACUAAGCCCUGACUGCAUGGACUAGGAGGGCUUCCCUACCCGCCCUUGACAGCACAGCCAGGGAGAGCGCUGGACUUCCCUAACACACACGGUCAACUAUCGCUUCAAAGCAGUGACCUCUUCACACCCUAGAUAGGUAGAAAAUACGAAGAAAAAAACAUACAUAUCAUCCAUAAUCUUACCGCAAGAUAACCACUGUUAACAUUUUCAUGUAUGUCCUCUUAGGUUUUCUCUUAUAAAUAUUUGCUUAUAAACAUUCUUUACAGGGAUGGGAAGAGCAUGACCUGUUUUGUAAACCGGCUUUUCUCAUUUAACAAUCCAUCAUCAACAGUGGCACUAUACUCAACACUGGGAAGCAUUCUUUAAAUACUGGCUGAAUGAAUACGCACCACAAGAAAGUGCCUCUGCUUUUAAAGACGUGUCAAGAAAAAUUUGAAAUACGCAUACAAUCUGUCCAAUGAAUCCCACUUUUAGGAAAUGUGUCCUAAGGAAAUCAUUUGAAGAGCAUGCUAAGAUUUCUAUCUAAGGAUAUUCACGAUAUCAUUGAUUAAACUAUCAAAAUUUGAAAUAGCCCAAAUGUCUUACAGUAGAGAAUUAGCUAAAUAUAUCAUUCCUUAUCCAUAUAUAACACCAUACAGUCAAUUGAAAGAUGAUAUUGAUUUAGACAUAUUGAUAUGGAACAUGCUAAGUGAACUGCUGCGUGAACAAAGUAGUUUCAAAACAGAACAUAUGUCAUGAACUCAGUUUUGAAUUUUAAUUAAUACGUGUACAUCUGCAUAAGAAAAGGUUUAGACCAGAGGUGGGCAAACUUAUUCUGAAAAUGACCAUACAGUAAAUUUUUCAGGCUUUGCAGGCCAUUCAAUCUCUGUCACAAGUACUCAACUCUGCCACUUGUAGUUUGAAAGUAGUCAUAGACAGUGUGUGGAAGAAUGAGUGUGGCUGAGUUCCAAUAAAACUUUAUUUCCAAAAACAGGUAGCAGGCCCAAUGUGGCCCAAAGGCUGCUGUUUGCUCACUCCUGGGUCUAGAAGAAAACAUACUAAACUGCUAACGGUAACUAUUUCUGGAUAGCAGAACUAUGGGCGAUUUCUAAUUUCCUCUUUAUAAUGUGAUAAUUUUUGCAUGUUCUCAAUUAAAUUUAAUCAUAAGCAUGUAUUAUUUAAAAAACCAAUAGCAUGUUCUUUUCUUUGUUUUUGGUGGGGCUGGGGGAGGAGGCUUUGAGAUGCCCAAGACAUGCAUGGUUUCCUAUUUUAAUACAAAUUCUUAUUCAUUGUUUCUCAGUUUUUCUAUAGGAUACCACAAAGACCUCUCAACAUACAUUUGAAGGAAAGGAAGAAAUGGAGGGAGGAGAGAAGGCGGGAAGGAAAGAAGCAAGGGAGGGAGGAAGGAAAAGAGGAGAGGGGGAAGGAAAAAAUAACAAACUCCAGUCCUGUCCUGGGGUUAGGGAAGGGCAUG
rnacentral:lncRNA from 1 species